rfam:Aliiroseovarius crassostreae strain CV919-312 Joined_contig_7, whole genome shotgun sequence.
CCCCCGUCACAACGGCUUCCUGGCGUGAUGGGGAUUGUAUCAAUGGAGCA